GGGGAUUUAGCUCAGUGGUAGAGCGCUUGCCUAGCAAGUACAAGGCCCUGGGUUCGGUCCCCAGCUCCG
rfam:Rattus norvegicus chromosome 12, whole genome shotgun sequence.